rnacentral:misc_RNA from 1 species
CAAAAUGUUGGUUUUAAUGAAAUACCAGAUUUGGCUUUGGAUGUUACAGCUGUGUGUUGUUCAUUAUGUUGUUAGAUUUCAGAGUAAGCUUUGAUUGUAGAUAAAAUGUUUUGUUAGAUCUGGGUGCAAGUUCAUAGUCUGGUGAGAGUGAAUAUGGCACGUAUCAUACUUUUGUUUGGAAAAAUAGGAAGAACUAUUAAAGGAUGGCAUACCUCUUCCUCUCCUUGGAGGGGCUCUGCCUCUAAUCUACUUUCAUCAGUAUUGG